rnacentral:rRNA from 1 species
UAUUACAAUGAAGAGUUUGAUCCUGGCUCAGGAUGAACGCUAGCUACAGGCUUAACACAUGCAAGUCGAGGGGCAGCAUGGUCUUAGCUUGCUAAGGCCGAUGGCGACCGGCGCACGGGUGAGUAACACGUAUCCAACCUGCCGUCUACUCUUGGACAGCCUUCUGAAAGGAAGAUUAAUACAAGAUGGCAUCAUGAGUCCGCAUGUUCACAUGAUUAAAGGUAUUCCGGUAGACGAUGGGGAUGCGUUCCAUUAGAUAGUAGGCGGGGUAACGGCCCACCUAGUCUUCGAUGGAUAGGGGUUCUGAGAGGAAGGUCCCCCACAUUGGAACUGAGACACGGUCCAAACUCCUACGGGAGGCAGCAGUGAGGAAUAUUGGUCAAUGGGCGAGAGCCUGAACCAGCCAAGUAGCGUGAAGGAUGACUGCCCUAUGGGUUGUAAACUUCUUUUAUAAAGGAAUAAAGUCGGGUAUGGAUACCCGUUUGCAUGUACUUUAUGAAUAAGGAUCGGCUAACUCCGUGCCAGCAGCCGCGGUAAUACGGAGGAUCCGAGCGUUAUCCGGAUUUAUUGGGUUUAAAGGGAGCGUAGAUGGAUGUUUAAGUCAGUUGUGAAAGUUUGCGGCUCAACCGUAAAAUUGCAGUUGAUACUGGAUAUCUUGAGUGCAGUUGAGGCAGGCGGAAUUCGGGGUGUAGCGGUGAAAUGCUUAGAUAUCACGAAGAACUCCGAUUGCGAAGGCAGCCUGCUAAGCUGCAACUGACAUUGAGGCUCGAAAGUGUGGGUAUCAAACAGGAUUAGAUACCCUGGUAGUCCACACGGUAAACGAUGAAUACUCGCUGUUUGCGAUAUACAGCAAGCGGCCAAGCGAAAGCGUUAAGUAUUCCACCUGGGGAGUACGCCGGCAACGGUGAAACUCAAAGGAAUUGACGGGGGCCCGCACAAGCGGAGGAACAUGUGGUUUAAUUCGAUGAUACGCGAGGAACCUUACCCGGGCUUAAAUUGCAGAUGAAUUACGGUGAAAGCCGUAAGCCGCAAGGCAUCUGUGAAGGUGCUGCAUGGUUGUCGUCAGCUCGUGCCGUGAGGUGUCGGCUUAAGUGCCAUAACGAGCGCAACCCUUGUUGUCAGUUACUAACAGGUUCCGCUGAGGACUCUGACAAGACUGCCAUCGUAAGAUGUGAGGAAGGUGGGGAUGACGUCAAAUCAGCACGGCCCUUACGUCCGGGGCUACACACGUGUUACAAUGGGGGGUACAGAGGGCCGCUACCACGCGAGUGGAUGCCAAUCCCCAAAACCUCUCUCAGUUCGGACUGGAGUCUGCAACCCGACUCCACGAAGCUGGAUUCGCUAGUAAUCGCGCAUCAGCCACGGCGCGGUGAAUACGUUCCCGGGCCUUGUACACACCGCCCGUCAAGCCAUGGGAGCCGGGGGUACCUGAAGUGCGUAACCGCGAGGAGCGCCCUAGGGUAAAACUGGUGACUGGGGCUAAGUCGUAACAAGGUAGCCGUACCGGAAGGUGCGGCUGGAACACCUCCUUUCU